rnacentral:misc_RNA from 1 species
GCGAGCGUUAUGAAACUUCUUCAUUGAUGUCAUGCAUUAUCCCGGCUGACUCCCAAACCAGGGUAAAGGGUAACCAAGCGCAAGCCAUCAAUACAAAAAGCAAAGAAACUAGCAACAAAGACAAAAGGCAAGAGUGCUGUGGGUGUCGACUUGCAUGCAUCAAAGGAUAUCAGCGGGAAAAUGGCCAAAUCCCGUCCGACGAAGCCUUCAGCCGCCCAGACGCUGACAAAGCGCAGGGCGAUUUGUUUGCCCCAUAAAUACAUUGCGAGAUAAGCUUGGCACCACCCCCCCGUCCAUUCCUAGAUCUUGUCCACCGCAUCAAAUCCAUACUUCUGAAUCUUUUAAAUAUUAAUAAUAACUCAGAAGUAGUACGGAUCAGACGGAUAUUAUUUACAAAAUCUAUUGUUGCAACUUCACUGGCCGUGGAGAAGUGAGGU